GACCUACGGGUGGCUGCAGUCGAGAAUCUUCGGCAAUGGGCGCAAGCCUGACCGAGCGACGCCGCGUGCGGGAUGAAGGUCUUCGGAUUGUAAACCGCUGUCGGAGGGGAUGAAAUGCAUCAGGGCAAUCCCUGGUGUUUGACAGAGCCUCGGAGGAAGCACGGGCUAAGUUCGUGCCAGCAGCCGCGGUAAUACGAACUGUGCGAACGUUAUUCGGAAUCACUGGGCUUAAAGGGUGCGUAGGCGGCGACACAAGUCAGGUGUGAAAUCCCCCGGCUCAACCGGGGAACAGCGCUUGAAACUAGGUUGCUCGAGUGAGGCAGGGGUGUAUGGAACUUCCGGUGGAGCGGUGAAAUGUGUAGAGAUCGGAAGGAACGCCGGCGGCGAAAGCGGUACACUGGGCCUUGUCUGACGCUGAGGCACGAAAGCUAGGGGAGUGAACGGGAUUAGAUACCCCAGUAGUCGC
rnacentral:rRNA from 1 species